rnacentral:rRNA from 1 species
AGUGAACGCUGGCGGCGUGCUUAACACAUGCAAGUCGAACGAGAACGGAUUAUAGCUUGCUAUAAUUGUCAGCUAAGUGGCGCACGGGUGAGGAAUGUAUAGGUAAUAUGCCUCUUACUAAGGGAUAACAAAUGGAAACGUUUGCUAAUACCUUAUACUCCUUAUUAACAUAAGUUAAUAAGGGAAAGAUUUAUUGGUAAGAGAUUAGCCUGUAUUGUAUCAGUUAGUUGGUGGGGUAAUGGCUUACCCAGACUAUGACACAUAACUGGUUUGAGAGGAUCGUCACGCACACUGGAACUCAGAAACGGACCAGGCGCCUCCGGGAGGCGGCAGUGGGGAAUAUUGCCCAAUGGACGAAAGUCUGAUGCAGCAUGGCCGCGUGGGGGAUAACACGUUGCGCAGCGUAAACUCCUUUUAUAUGAGAACGUAAUGACGGUAUUAUAUGAAUAAGCACCGGCUACCUCCGUGCCAGCAGCCGCGGUAA